AAUAAAAAGAAAAUUUCUUCAAACAUUUUUUUGAGAGGAUUAAUAUUCAACAGCAUAGUGAAUUGCUCAAAGGCAAACAUUUUUUUUAAAGUUCAUUAGACCACAUUCAUUCUGUGUCAGAAACCUAUGCUGUGUCAACUAUUUAAUCACAAUCCAAAUUUAGAGCUGAAUCAGCUUGAAUGUUGUGUCCAUACUUGCCCC
rnacentral:lncRNA from 1 species